rnacentral:rRNA from 1 species
UACGUAGGGUGCAAGCGUUGUCCGGAAUUAUUGGGCGUAAAGAGCUCGUAGGCGGUCUGUCGCGUCGGCUGUGAAAACCUGGGGCUUAACUCCGGGCCUGCAGCCGAUACGGGCAGACUAGAGUUCGGUAGGGGAGUCUGGAAUUCCUGGUGUAGCGGUGAAAUGCGCAGAUAUCAGGAGGAACACCGGUGGCGAAGGCGGGACUCUGGGCCGAUACUGACGCUGAGGAGCGAAAGCGUGGGGAGCAAACAGG